rnacentral:rRNA from 1 species
CCUACGGGUGGCAGCAGUGGGGAAUAUUGGACAAUGGGCGAAAGCCUGAUCCAGCCAUGCCGCGUGUGUGAAGAAGGCCUUCGGGUUGUAAAGUACUUUCAGUGGGGAAGAAAGCCUUGGGGCUAAUACCCUCGAGGAAGGACAUCACCCACAGAAGAAGCACCGGCUAACUCCGUGCCAGCAGCCGCGGUAAUACGGAGGGUGCGAGCGUUAAUCGGAAUUACUGGGCGUAAAGCGCGCGUAGGCGGUCUGAUAAGCCGGUUGUGAAAGCCCCGGGCUCAACCUGGGAACGGCAUCCGGAACUGUCAGGCUAGAGUGCAGGAGAGGAAGGUAGAAUUCCCGGUGUAGCGGUGAAAUGCGUAGAGAUCGGGAGGAAUACCAGUGGCGAAGGCGGCCUUCUGGACUGACACUGACGCUGAGGUGCGAAAGCGUGGGUAGCAAACAGGAUUAGAUACCCGUGUAGUC